GCGUUCGUGGGGCCCCCACACCAGUUCCUCGGUGCCUCCGCCUGUGAUGUGAUUAGCCGAGACCUGUGCCUUUAAGGAGUGCCCCCUUCCUUGGCCCUUCCCCCUCCAAUUACAGCACUAAUUUCAGUAAUGGAGCAUUAAUAGAGUAAUGGGCGAGUGAGGCUGGCCUGAAGGAACUGUGGAGCUCAGCACAAAUUGAGUAAAUAAACCAUGUAUUAGAUUUCUAAACAAUACUUUUAGUCUGGUCUCCAGGGAAAGAGAGUCUUCAAGACUUACUUAAGUCAUCCCUGCAAAGUGUAUGUAAAAGAAGCCUCCUUUCAGAGCUUGGUUGUUUGUAGCAGCAGGAAAUCUCUCUCUCUCAUCCCGGGGAUGGGAGACCCUGAAUGUGGGCUGAGGGCUGUGACUUGAAGUGCCUGAGAAGGGCUCCCCGUCUUCCACAAAGGCCCUGAUGACUCCAGAAAGCCUGUAGUGUGAUAUUUGUCGUGGCUGUGAAGACUGUUUA
rnacentral:lncRNA from 1 species